UACGUAGGCAGCAAGCGUUGUUCGGAAUUACUGGGCGUAAAGAGUAUGUAGGUGGUUUGUCAAGUCCGAUGUGAAAUCUCCCGGCUUAACUGGGAGGGUGCGUUAGAUACUAGCAAGCUUGAGUGUGGGAGAGGAGAGCGGAAUUCCUGGUGUAGCGGUGAAAUGCGUAGAUAUCAGGAGGAACGCCUGUGGUGUAGACGGCUCUCUGGACCAUUACUGACACUGAGAUACGAAAGCGUGGGUAGCAAACAGG
rnacentral:rRNA from 1 species